rnacentral:lncRNA from 1 species
CGCUUCAAUGCCUAUAAUUUGAGAGAUAAGAGGAAAGCCCUCUCUCGAAUUCGAAGAUGUAACACAAAUAAUGACUCUCUUCGCCGGGAUGUCAGCAGGUUAGGCAGCUCUAAGGUUUUUUAUAUUCGGUGGAAGGCAGGCUGAAACUCUGCCCCAACCAAGUGAAACUAAGGGUCUGAAAGAGUUCACGAUCUGAUCUAUGGGGUGUUAACCCUCGGAGGACGGCUAAGAAUGUCCAUUAAAAGGAGCGAUGGGGUCGUUUUUCAAG